GACCUCAAAUCAGGUAGGAACACCCGCUGAACUUAAGCAUAUCAAUAAGCGGAGGAAAAGAAAAUAACAAUGAUUCCCCUAGUAACUGCGAGUGAAGAGGGACAAGCUCAAAUUUUAAAUCUGUCGGGUUUUACCUGAUCGAGUUGUAAUUUGAAGAAGCGUUUUCUGCACUGUUUGAUCAGCCCAAGUCCUAUUGAAUGAGGCAUCAUGGAGGGUGAUAAUCCCGUCCGGUUGAUCAUUGUGCUCUACGAUACGCUUUCAAAGAGUCAAGUUGUUUGGGAUUGCAGCUUUAAAUGGGAGGUAAAUUUCUCCUAAGGCUAAAUAACGGCGAGAGACCGAUAGCGAACAAGUACCGUGAGGGAAAGAUGAAAAGAACUUUGAAAAGAGAGUUAAACAGUACGUGAAAUUGUUGAAAGGGAAACGAUUGAAGCCAGUCGUACCUUCGGGUAAUCAGCCUUUCGGGUGCGAUUCUGUGAGGUGUGAGGAGUUAAACGCCUUCAUGUUUUGCAUAUUCGUGCUCUUGGGUGUACUUGCCCGUGUGGUUGGUUAACAUCAAUUUUGGACGCCAUAAAAUGACUGGAGGAAUGUAGCUUCGAUCUCGUAUUGAAGUGUUAUAGCCUUUGGUAGAUGUGGUUUUCGAGAUUGAGGAUUGCAACGGAUACCCUUCGGGGCUACCUAUCUGAUCUCUGAUCGUUGCUCUGGUGCCGAAAGCUUGCUUACGGAUAUCAAAGUCGAUGGUCAAUAGGUUAGAAUAGGUUAAAUUCGUUAAGGAUGUUGACGUAAUGGCUUUAAACGACCCGUCUUGAAACACGGACCGAGGAGUCUAACAUAUAUGCGAGUGUUAGGGUGAUUAAACCCUUACGCGUAAUGAAAGUAAUUUUGGUGGGAUCACUUUUGUGCACCAUCGACCGAUCAGGAUAUUUUUUGAUAGAUUUGAGUAAGAGC
rnacentral:rRNA from 1 species